AACGAACGCUGGCGGCAUGCCUAACACAUGCAAGUCGAACGAGACCUUCGGGUCUAGUGGCGCACGGGUGCGUAACGCGUGGGAACCUGCUCUUAGGUUCGGAAUAACUCCCCGAAAGGGGUGCUAAUACCGGAUAAUGUCUUCGGACCAAAGAUUUAUCGCCUUUGGAUGGGCCCGCGUUGGAUUAGCUAGUUGGUAGGGUAAAAGUCUACCAAGGCGACGAUCCAUAGCUGGUCUGAGAGGAUGAUCAGCCACACUGGGACUGAGACACGGCCCAGACUCCUACGGGAGGCGGCAGUGGGGAAUAUUGGACAAUGGGCGAGAGCCUGAGCCAGCAAUGCCGCGUGAGUGAUGAAGGCCUUAGGGUUGUAAAGCUCUUUUACCCGGGAUGAUAAUGACAGUACCGGGAGAAUAAGCUCCGGCUAACCCCGUG
rnacentral:rRNA from 1 species